rnacentral:lncRNA from 1 species
CAGAAGCUACCCCGCUCCUGCAAUGGCUCGACGGCUCCCUCUUGUGUCCAAACCUGAAGCCACACCAUGCCCGGGGGUUAAAAACGACAGCAGUGGACAGAGAAGAUGGUUAUGUCUAUAAAAGCAGGAGCUAAAGCUCCAAGGAUUGCCAUUCACACGGGUGUGAGAAGGAGAAGAGGCCUGGAAGUUUUUGAUGCAUCCCCAAUGUCUAACUUUACUUUGGAAACCCUUUGGAGUUUGGCAGGACAAGUAGACACUGCCUCCCUGUGAUCUACUAACAAGGUGUAAAUGACUACAGAAGGAGCAAGGGAGUGGAGAAUCAGACCCCAGGAAGGAACCAGCAGAAAUCUUUAGAGGGAGAGAAGCUCCUUGUGCUUUCCAGAAGAUGGCGCUCAUUCUCCAUUGGAUUGGGGAGCAGCCUGCACCUGAGGCAGAGAAUGGAGCUACUUGAACAAGAUGAAAUGAUACUUUGCUUGAGCCUGAGCUGCUGUCACAGUCUCUCACCCAACGUCAACUCAGCACCUUCUGCUGUUUUCAUCGUAGACAUCAGAUCCCUGCAGGUUCUGAGAUGGGGUGACACUAGAACAGGGAGUGACAAACAAAGUAUCAUGGGACAAGAAGAAAGGGCACGUUACCCCCAGGCAAGUUGGAGAGUUUUUCCGAAUGGGAUUUCACUGGUCUAUAAUAAAUGUUCCAGUCACAGAAUAUCAGGGUUUGGAAGGGACCGCAAGCGGUCAACUGGUCUAACCCCUUCUCAGAGCAGGACCAAUCCCCAGACAGAUUUUUACCCUAGUUCCCUAAAUGCCCCCUUCAAGGAUUGAACUCACAACCCUGGGUUUAGCAGGCCAACGCUCAACCCACUGUAAAAACGAAGAAUCUCAGUGCUUAAAGAAACACUGGACUAAAUAGUGACCAAAGCAAAAAGAGAAAGAAAAAUGUAGCUCUUUGGUACAAAUUAAAAAAAAUAAAUACUGCAUGUAACACA